UACGUAGGGUGCAAGCGUUGUCCGGAAUUAUUGGGCGUAAAGAGCUCGUAGGCGGUUUGUCGCGUCGAAUGUGAAAACCCGGGGCUCAACCUCGGGUCUGCAGUCGAUACGAGCAAACUAGAGUGUUGCAGGGGAGACUGGAAUUCCUGGUGUAGCGGUGAAAUGCGCAGAUAUCAGGAGGAACACCGGUGGCGAAGGCGGUCAUCCUGGG
rnacentral:rRNA from 1 species